AUCCGGUUGAAGAGUCUCAAGUGGGACGAAACGCGAGUCAUGGAU
rfam:Schistosoma margrebowiei strain Zambia genome assembly, scaffold: SMRZ_contig0002276